ACAUGCAAGUCGAGCGGUAGCACAGAGAGCUUGCUCUCGGGUGACGAGCGGCGGACGGGUGAGUAAUGUCUGGGAAACUGCCUGAUGGAGGGGGAUAACUACUGGAAACGGUAGCUAAUACCGCAUAACGUCGCAAGACCAAAGUGGGGGACCUUCGGGCCUCAUGCCAUCAGAUGUGCCCAGAUGGGAUUAGCUAGUAGGUGGGGUAACGGCUCACCUAGGCGACGAUCCCUAGCUGGUCUGAGAGGAUGACCAGCCACACUGGAACUGAGACACGGUCCAGACUCCUACGGGAGGCAGCAGUGGGGAAUAUUGCACAAUGGGCGCAAGCCUGAUGCAGCCAUGCCGCGUGUGUGAAGAAGGCCUUCGGGGUUGUAAAGCACUUUCAGCGGGGAGGAAGGCGGUGAGGUUAAUAACCUUGUCGAUUGACGUUACCCGCAGAAGAAGCACCGGCUAACUCCGUGCCAGCAGCCGCGGUAAUACGGAGGGUGCAAGCGUUAAUCGGAAUUACUGGGCGUAAAGCGCACGCAGGCGGUCUGUCAAGUCGGAUGUGAAAUCCCCGGGCUCAACCUGGGAACUGCAUUCGAAACUGGCAGGCUAGAGUCUUGUAGAGGGGGGUAGAAUUCCAGGUGUAGCGGUGAAAUGCGUAGAGAUCUGGAGGAAUACCGGUGGCGAAGGCGGCCCCCUGGACAAAGACUGACGCUCAGGUGCGAAAGCGUGGGGAGCAAACAGGAUUAGAUACCCUGGUAGUCCACGCUGUAAACGAUGUCGAUUUGGAGGUUGUGCCCUUGAGGCGUGGCUUCCGGAGCUAACGCGUUAAAUCGACCGCCUGGGGAGUACGGCCGCAAGGUUAAAACUCAAAUGAAUUGACGGGGGCCCGCACAAGCGGUGGAGCAUGUGGUUUAAUUCGAUGCAACGCGAAGAACCUUACCUGGUCUUGACAUCCACAGAACUUUCCAGAGAUGGAUUGGUGCCUUCGGGAACUGUGAGACAGGUGCUGCAUGGCUGUCGUCAGCUCCUUGUUGUGAAAUGUUGGGUUAAGUCCCGCAACGAGCGCAACCCUUAUCCUUUGUUGCCAGCGGUCAGGCCGGGAACUCAAAGGAGACUGCCAGUGAUAAACUGGAGGAAGGUGGGGAUGACGUCAAGUCAUCAUGGCCCUUACGACCAGGGCUACACACGUGCUACAAUGGCAUAUACAAAGAGAAGCGACCUCGCGAGAGCAAGCGGACCUCAUAAAGUAUGUCGUAGUCCGGAUUGGAGUCUGCAACUCGACUCCAUGAAGUCGGAAUCGCUAGUAAUCGUAGAUCAGAAUGCUACGGUGAAUACGUUCCCGGGCCUUGUACACACCGCCCGUCACACCAUGGGAGUGGGUUGCAAAAGAAGUAGGUAGCUUAACCUUCGGGAGGGCGCUUACCACUUUG
rnacentral:rRNA from 1 species